rnacentral:lncRNA from 1 species
AAUUCUUGAGGAGAUAUUCAAUUGCAAAUCUAGCAAGGUGAGCAUUGAAAUUGAGUUGAUAUUUUAGUUGUUGAGAAUGAUUAAUAGUUAGAUUUAUGAAGUUAAGGUAGUUUAUUCAUUUGGGUGCGAUUAUAAUAGUGCAAAUAAAUAGCCACUUGAUGGUAGUUAGAAGCUAGUUAGGAAUCACUAGUGGAACAUGAUUUAAGAGAUAGCUUUUAGAAUUAUGGUUAUGUGAUUGAGUUGAUUGUGAUGCUAAUGUGUGAUAGGCUCCACCGAAACCCCACAUCACUAUUCGGGGCAUUAGUGGAAGUUGGAGCUGCUUUAAGAAUCAACAAAGACAGGUGAGUGAACUUGCAUUUCAAAACUGUUUUGGGAUAUGUGAAUGUAUUUGGACAAAUAUUUUGAAUGAUUUAUCCAAUUCUCUUUCAAAAAAAAAAAGUGCUUGGGAACAAGCCCUUAUGAAAUGUCUUUAUGUUGUGAAAUGGAAAGUAUGAUGAAUCCAUGUGUUUCGAUAUAAUGUUGAUAUAUAUAUAUAUAUAUAUGUCUAGUACAUUGAUAGAUAAUAUUGUGGAAUGGAUAUAACUGUGUGUGUGCAUGAUAUGGGGGGAUGCACAUACCGGUAAUGACGGUGUUGAGGUAGGCGGAUGAUGAUAUUGCCCAUGUGCACAAUAUGGGGAGAUGUACACGAUGGCAUUAGAUGUUCACGAUGUGGGGGGAUGCACAUGAUGACUCCAGCUAUGUGCACGAUGUAGGGGGAUGCACAUGAGCUAGGGAGGCGGUGGAUGUAUAUAUAUACAUAUAUGUUUGCAUAUGUUCACAUGUAUUAAUGCAAUAAAGAUUUUAUGAAUAACAUGUGUGACUAUAAUGUAUGUGGAAUCUUGCUUGCUGAACCUUGAGCAUUUUUUUUAGUGUUCCAAAUUGAUUUGCAUUGCAGUGAAAUGGUUUAUUUGGGAUGAAAGGAAGUCUUUCUUGUUGCUCUGUUUCUCGUUGCAGCGAGAAUGAAACUUUCUGUUCCGUUUAUCACUUGGCUGGUUUUUGCCAUAUUUUCCACUUCUCCAAUUUCAUGUUGAAUAUGAAUUCUCUAUCAUCACAUGAUUUAUCAACCAAGGGUUCAAUUAAGGGUUUUAAUAAGGACUUAAGCUAAAGUGCAUCGUUUUCAAAUAAGUGCAUUAUGAUUUCAAACUUUUCCUUAUUAUAUUGCUUGUUCCCUUCCUUGUUCACUCACUGGGUUUAUACUCACCAUUUUCAACUUCAUGUUUUCAGAUCAAGAGGCAGUUGGUAACUAGGUCGAGGUGUCUUCGUAUAUUUGACCCUUGGUAGGUGUCUCGGCAUUCAGUAGCUGUACAUUCAUCUGAGUCUCUCCG